GAUGAACGCUGGCGGCGUGCUUAACACAUGCAAGUCGAACGAGAAGUGAAGACGGAAACCUUCGGGCGGAAGGCUUUAUUUCGAGUGGCGGCCGGGUGAGUAACGCGUGGGUAACCUGCCUCAUACAGGGGGAUAACAGUUGGAAACGACUGUUAAUACCGCAUAAGACCACAGCACCGCAUGGUGCGGGGGUAAAAACUCCGGUGGUAUGAGAUGGACCCGCGUUCGAUUAGCCAGUUGGCGGGGUAACGGCCCACCAAAGCGACGAUCGAUAGCCGAUCUGAGAGGAUGACCGGCCACAUUGGGACUGAGACACGGCCCAAACUCCUACGGGAGGCAGCAGUGGGGAAUAUUGCACAAUGGGGGAAACCCUGAUGCAGCGACGCCGCGUGAGUGAAGAAGUAUUUCGGUAUGUAAAGCUCUAUCAGCAGGGAAGAAAAUGACGGUACCUGAGUAAGAAGCCCCGGCUAACUACGUG
rnacentral:rRNA from 1 species